rnacentral:rRNA from 1 species
UACGUAGGGGGCUAGCGUUGUCCGGAAUCAUUGGGCGUAAAGAGCGUGUAGGCGGUCCGGUAAGUCCGCUGUGAAAGUCGGGGGCUCAACCCUCGAAUGCCGGUGGAUACUGUCGGGCUAGAGUGCGGAAGAGGCGAGUGGAAUUCCUGGUGUAGCGGUGAAAUGCGCAGAUAUCAGGAAGAACACCUAUGGCGAAGGCAGCACUCUGGGACGGUACUGACGCUGAGACGCGAAAGCGUGGGGAGCGAACAGG